rnacentral:SRP_RNA from 1 species
GCUGGGUGCGGUGGCACGUGCCUGUAGUCCCAGCUACUCGGGAGGCUGAGGUGGGAGGAUCACUUGAGCCCAGGAGUUCUGGGGUGUGGUGCGCUAUGCCAAUCGGGUGUCUGCACUAAGUUCGGCAUCAAUAUGGUGACCUCCCGGGAGCAGGGGACCACCAGGUUGCCUAAGGAGGGGUGAACCAGCCCAGAUCGGGAACGGAGCAGGUCAAAACUCCCAUGCCAAUCAGUAGCGGGAUCGCGUCUGUGCAUAGCCACUGCACGCCAGCCUGGGCAACAUAGCAAGACCCCAUCUCU